rnacentral:rRNA from 1 species
GACGAACCGUGCGAACGUUGUUCGGAAUCACUGGGCUUAAAGGGCGCGUAGGCGGGCAGGCAAGUCAGGGGUGAAAGCCCACGGCUCAACCGUGGAAGCGCCUUUGAUACUGCCGGUCUCGAGGGAGGUAGGGGCGUGCGGAACUUCCGGUGGAGCGGUGAAAUGCGUAGAUAUCGGAAGGAGCACCGGUGGCGAAAGCGGCGCGCUGGACCUCUUCUGACGCUGAGGCGCGAAAGCCAGGGGAGCAAACGGG